UCAAAAGUAACUUUUCUUUUCCAGGACUUAGGUUGGAAGCACAGUGUUUGUUUACUGCAUUGCCCUUGGGUUUGCCUCUGGCUUGUGCUUCCUGGGGGAAAGGCAGUGGGACUGCUGCUGGUUCCUAAAACACUGACAGUCUGUGAUGGCCUUCUGGUAGUGAAGCCAUUUUGCUAACAGCAGCAUCAGGCUCUUCUCCACACUAUUUCCCUUAUCAGCACAUCGCUUGGUGCGUUCGCAGUGUCUCGGUGCAGCCGGAUUAUUAUAAGCCUUUACUUGGCUCCUGCAAACCAAGGUCUUAAUCAAGCUCAAGGCUAAAUUAUGUUGGAAAUCCUACGAGGGAACAGAAGCAAUGCCAAGCUGUGGAUUCCCGGACAGGGCCCAGCCUCUGACUCAGCAGUUGUGCGGCAUUGUUUAUUUUGAGCUAAAUAUGUAUAUGUACCUAUAGAGAUAGAGCAUGCAUGUGCAUGAGAGAGAGCUGGGACAGUCAGCAGCCCCAUCCUAAGCACCAAUGCUGAGGCUGCUGUUGCUGGAGCAGCCAAGGUGUGCCUGUGUUUCAGCAUUUCAGUGUUUCAAGAGAGUGGAAACAUGUUUCUCCCAUCAUAUUAAAAUCUUGCUCUAUCUUCUUUCCAUCUCUUCCUGGGGUGUUGAUUCUAGGUCCCUGCAAAGCAGUGGGAGUCACGACCUUCCAAUAAAGUCUGUCCCCCAAAUCCAGCCUUUGGGAAAGGGAGCAGUUCCAUACAAAUACAGCAACACACGUCACAUUUCUUAGGUGACACAAGGCUUCCUCCAACAGAAGGAUUGUAUCAUGCUCUUUUUGCUGAUGAGCGAGUGUACCUUCCGGGGAGCCCAGAAAUCCCCAAAUCUCUGACAAAUCCAACACUGAACCUGCUGAGGGGCCAGAGGAAACCAUGCCUGUGUUUACCUGUCCAUGCUUUCUCAUCAAGGACAAUUUGAGGUGACAGGUGAAGUGGAGGACCUUGCACCCCUUUCACUCAGAGCAGGCUGAUGCCACAGACCAGUGGUUGAGCCCAGGGAUGCAGCAGCCACUGCUCCCCCAUUUUUUUUCCCUUGCUAACCACUCAUCCACCUUCUGAAUGUCACGCCUAAUGCAAUGUGGCUGUCAUCACUUGUUGACACAGCACCACAUAUAUGCAAACUCAAUAUCAGAUAUACACAAACCCAGUAAAACCCCAAAGCUCAGCAGCCACCUGACUUCUCUCUGCAAGAGAGCCCAUCCAACAGGUUUCAUAAACCAAACGCACAACAUCAAGGGGCAGUCAGAAUUCAAGCAAUAGCCUUAGACCUGAGGUAUAGCUACUGUGCUUUUGACAAUAGUUUUCUUCCAAGCUGUAAAUACACAUUUAGGGACACACAGCCCAAACAAAACAAAGAAGUUUUGUAAUUUUACCCAGUUAUUAGCCCUUUCUGUGACUUCGUUCACAGACACUAUUUUAAAGCAAAGGCAAAAGGAGUAGUAUGAUGUUGUAUAGAUUUCUAAAGGUCAAAAUGUGCAUUGUGUACUUAUUUGAAAGAUUUAUGGCUCUAUUUUGCUAUCAGAUAAGUAGACCUGAAUGCUGUGCAUCUGGGGACUUUUAACAAGAAAAUAUCUUUACUCUUCCCACCCCAGGAUUUGAGCAUCUCUUCCCCCCUGCUCAGCUAGAAAGUGAAAGCAAGAAAUAGGGCCCAUAUCUCUGAAACAAUGCUAUGGGACAGACAAUUUUCAGCACACUGCUGAAGACAUCUUCAACUCUAAACAGCUCUUUAUCAGAUCAACACCUCCCCAUGAAGGACAAGUUUUAUUGUCAUCUUCAAAUCAACCUCUCCACUUGCUCCCUGUGUUUUACACUGACUCCAUUGAUAGACAUGGGGCAAUUAAGCAACGGGUAUUUUUUGUUGUGAAGACCUGUCACUAGAAACAAUCAACUCUUAUUUUAAUGCAUAUGCUAUCUCCACUUGAUGAGAGUCAACGAGACCACAAGAGGUGAACGGCAUUAUGCUGUAUCCUCCAGCCAGUUUCCUAAGACAUCCAGUUGCUUGAGCAACUAAAGUGGGAUCCCAGGGCACCCCAUGCACAAGGCAGUUAUACUCUGGACAUGGUCAAGCCCCAAUCAUGUCUUGUACUGCAGGCAAAUCCCUGGACUCUCAGACCAGAUCUAACAAGUUUUUAUUCUUCAGUUAAAAGCAACUGAGAUGGAGGAGAGCAGGGAGGCAACAGUUGUGCUGCCUGCCUGGACCAACACUUAAGGUGCUCAAAUAAUGUUGCUGCUCCUUGACUCUGAGCCUAAAUUCCUUCUAGGUCUUUCCUGAGUAUUAUUUCUUCUCUGCUGUCCUACUGCUAACUCCUCUCUCUUCCCUCAGAUGAACUUCCCUGAGCUUUUGUCUUUUCCCUGAGCAGUGAUUUCCCUGAGCAAAGAUUUGUGAAUCUUUGGAUUCACUGCUCUGUAAAAGGCAAUACAGCUGAUAUCCCAAGGAUUGGAACUUACUUUAUAUCUACUGGUGUCUCUAAAGAAAACACCUGUGUUCGACCAGAGAGCAGAGAUAUCAGAACGAGGAUAGAAAUUACACUCAUACUUCUACUCAUUGCUUCCUUUUGUUUAACAUGUAAUGUCAGGGACACCUCUUACAG